GAUGAAGAACGCAGCGAAAUGCGAUAAGUAAUGUGAAUUGCAGAAUUCAGUGAAUCAUCGAGUCUUUGAACGCACAUUGCGCCCCCUGGUAUUCCGGGGGGCAUGCCUGUCCGAGCGUCAUUGCUGCCCUCAAGCACGGCUUGUGUGUUGGGCCCCGCCCCCCGGCUCCCGGGGGGCGGGCCCGAAAGGCAGCGGCGGCACCGCGUCCGGUCCUCGAGCGUAUGGGGCUUCGUCACCCGCUCCGUAGGCCCGGCCGGCGCCCGCCGGCGACCCCCCUCAAUCUUUUCAGGUUGACCUCGGAUCAGGUAGGGAUACCCGCUGAACUUAAGCAUAUCAAUAAGCGGAGA
rnacentral:misc_RNA from 1 species